rnacentral:rRNA from 1 species
UACGUAGGGUGCAAGCGUUAAUCGGAAUUACUGGGCGUAAAGCGUGCGCAGGCGGUGAUGUAAGACAGUUGUGAAAUCCCCGGGCUCAACCUGGGAACUGCAUCUGUGACUGCAUUGCUGGAGUGCGGUAGAGGGGGAUGGAAUUCCGCGUGUAGCAGUGAAAUGCGUAGAUAUGCGGAGGAACACCGAUGGCGAAGGCAAUCCCCUGGGCCUGCACUGACGCUCAUGCACGAAAGCGUGGGGAGCAAACAGG